GGCAGGUGAUUGUGGUGGAAAAAGACAGGCUGAGUUUGGAGAUAGUUUGGCACUGCUGGGGGCUGCUUCCCUUUGGACUGGCCUGAGAGGGCUCCCUUACCUGGGCCCUGACUUCAGCGUUGGGCUCCCAUGAGGAUCGCAAAUAGGAGGGCAAGAUCUGGGCCAUAAGUCAGAAGACCUCAAAACACCAGGAGGUGUCACACAGGCCUAAAGCUGAGACACCUUCCCAGCAGAGUUUGGGCCUGAGCAAUGGAGUCCGUAGCUGGGUUUUCCCAGCAAGCAGGCAGCAAACUGAUCUGUGAUUGCAGCUCAGGCCAGGUGCUGCUGGAGGAGAGGGAAAGGGAGCAAAGAUGUGGAUCUCCCCACUUGAUAUUCUGAACCUUUUCCCCUCUUCCUUCUGCCACUCAUACAUUCACUAAGAACCCAGGGAAGCUAUGACAGUCUGAGCAGGGAUUUGAAGCCAGAUCAGCAAGGUUAGCACCCCGGCCACUGCAUCAGCCUUUCUCAGCUGGGCCUGGAUCCCCAUUGGCCUGCCCCACAUUGUCACAGACACCAGUGAGAGCAGAGCAGUGGCAUUUCAUGGCUGCAUUGCACUGGAGUGGACCUUUUAUUUUUCAGUAUAAGCUGAGGUCUGAAUGUAAACAAAUCUGGUUACACCGGUAUAACCCCAGUGAGGAUGCUGAUUCAGUAGAAGAGGGGCUUUCCUUAAUUUAAAGCUUAUGUUCUGGGGAAAGAGUUUGAGCUAGGCCAAACAGAGCCACAUUGCUACUGGUGUAGCAGCCUGGCAUUCAGUGCUUGUACGACUGCUGCUUUAUUGUGCAUGGCCCAUUGGAAUUGGGCACAGAACAGGCCGAGUUUCCAGUGCUCCUCUGACUGGAUAGCUCAGCCCUGAACCACAAUGUGUCCACAUCUCAGUAUUUCUGUAGCUGUAUAACACUAUUGGUAUAACUGGAAAUGCAUGCCCAUGGAGCAGAACCUGGAUUCCCAUUUGGGAUACUAUCACAACUCCAGAAAGAGGUUCUGAUGGGAUCAGACCUUCAUGAGAAGGUCUCUCUCCUUGCACAGGGCUCUGGGAUUCCUCCUUGCAUGGAAAUGACAGAUGGGGAAAAGGCUGUUUGGGUCCUAGCUAAACUCCUCUCCUUUAGCCAAGACAGGCUUGUUUCCUACAGAAGGUAGAUUCAUAAAUAUGAAAGCCAGAGGGAACCUCCAAGAUCACCCAGCCAGAGCUAUUGUAGAACAUAGGCCAGAGAAUUCUUCACGGAGUCCACUCUGAAAGGUUGCGAGUGGCACAGGAUGAAACGGUUUGAGAAACAGCCAGUUUUUUAACAAAAAAAAAA